ensembl:lncRNA
CUGGACGUUCGUGCGGAGGGACACAAAGGUAACACAGGGACGCCCGGGGUGGGCCAAUCCAGGCCAGGCCACCACUGUGGUCCCACUUGGACAGCCCUACGUCCCCUCCCUGGGGGUGUGUGUGUGUGUGUGUGUGUGUGUGUGUUAGUGUGUGUGUGCAUGUGUGUGUGUGUGUGUGGAAGGGUGGUUUGUGUGAGUGGACCACCGCGAGGAGGAGCAGGCUGAUGAGGGGUUAGAAGCCUGGUGGGCCGGGCCCAUUCCCACCCCAGUUCAUGGCUGAUCGGGUGGGACGUGGAGUGCCGGGAAGCACCGUCUGCCCGAGGUUUCUCCCGAGCCCCUGAGGUCUAUCUGUUUCAUCCCGGGGAGAAUUCUGCACAGACACAGGGUGGUGCCUGAUGUGGGAGCAUUAGGGGCAGAGGGCAGAAGAAAGAGCAGGGGCAGCUGAGCAGGGCUCUGAUGCUUCUGGGCUGACUGUUGGUCACUGUCUUUGCAGAGGUCCACUCGGGACACGGAGUCCAGCUCCCCGAGGGAGGAGAAGCUGGGCAGGAACAGCGUAGUGGCAGGCGUGGGGAAAAGGCUGCCGUCCUCAGGGACUGUUGGACAAGGAUCAGAGCCAGCACAGGCCCCAGCCCGUGUGCGGGGAGCACAAUCACCUCCAGCAGCUCCUGCACAAGGGCAGGAGACAAGCGACGCCCCAGGACGGGAGCAGGGAGAGCCAGCCCCUCCUCAGGCUCAGGCAGGAGGCAUGCAGCUGGCUCUCAUGGAACCAGCUGAGCAUGGAGAGCCAUCCCCUGCUCAGGCUCCUGCCAGUGCCCUGGGGCAGGCUGAAGUGGUCGCCAGGGAGCAGGGAGAGCCAUCGCCUGCUCCGGCUCCUGCCAGUGCUCUGGGGCAGGCUGAAGUUGUCGCCAGGGAGCAGGGAGAGCCAUCCCCUGCUCUGGCUCCUGCCAGUGCCCCGGGGCAGGCUGAAGUGGUCGCCAGGGAGCAGGGAGAGCCAGCCCCUGCUCCAGAGCCUCCUGGAGCCCUGGAGCCCUCUCAGGCCCCAGCAUUGUCCCCGGGAGAGCUCACUCUCCAACCCCCAUCAUCCCCAGCUCCUGAGCCAUCCCUUCCACCUGCUCCCUCACCAGGACCUCCCUUCCUCUCCCUGCUUCCCCUGUAUGUCUGUGUAGCCGUUUAUGUUGCUCGUUUUCUUGUCUUUUUUUGGUGUUUAUGUAAAUUGUAAAAUAAAUUUCUUUAUAUUUUAAGAACUCUGCAUUUUCUCCUUUUCAAGUGUACAAUUCCCGAGCGUUAAGUACAGUCCCAAUGCUCGGCCUCCAUCACCACUGUCCGCUUGCUGAACAUUCCCUUCACCACAAGGGAAGCCUUUUCCCAAAGCGCUCAUGCCUCAUUCCUCCUUCGCUCCCUGACAACGCCUAUUCUGUGUUCUGGCAGGUUUUUGUCAGUCUUUUCUGGAUGGCUCCUAUCAGUGGAAUCAUGCAAUAUUUUCAGAAGCACUGAUCGAAAGCAGCCGUGUCAGGAGCCUCUUGUGGUCCACAGGCGUGCUGGGGGCGGGGACCCCCACGUGUGCUGCCGGCAGGGCUGCUCUGUGUGCCUGGCCGGGGACAGGAGGCCCGGCUGCCCCGAGGGAGAGAGGACUGGGAGCCCCGCCACACCCAGGGGGGCAGGAGGCCAGGGCUGUGUCCAUGCCGAGCAGGGCUGAUGCAGUUCCUGCGCAACCCUCACGGGACAGUUGGGAAGCUGAGGCCAGGGGAAACAGGGACCGGCCCUGGGCCCACGAGGUGGGCAGAAUCCAGAGGAGAAGCGAGGCUUCCAGGCCCCUGGGCCAGCUCUAGCAUCCCAGGAGAUUGGCCUUGGGAAGGAGAGCCCCUAAGAUCCUGGGGGACCUCUGUCCACGCCCUCCCAUUGGGGGCCCUUUCCUUUGGGCAUCCGCACCUGGGCGCACACUCACUCUCACACUCACACACACUCUGCCUGCCCAGGGUGGGGGUCAGGAGGGGAGUGCACACUGGGGAGGUGACAGCCGCAAAGAAGAAAGAGGUUGGAGGUGGCUCUG